AUCCAGCUGACGAGUAAAUACAAAACGAAACACGCGUCCCGGAU
rnacentral:hammerhead_ribozyme from 1 species